CCAGAAAAUUGCUUUAAUUGGCUAUUUGAUAGUUGCACGCUAACAAAAAACAAUCGUAUUUAAGAUUAAAGUACUUUGAAGCCAGUACUGAUCACAAUUAAGAAAAAUUUGAAUCCACCACAUACAAAAUCCUAAUUUUCAAAAUUCAAAUAGCCCAUUAAUGCAAUUUUCUGGGAAGAACAUGGAAAGAUGUCAGUUCUGCAUCUUUUAGGCGUCGGUCAC
rnacentral:misc_RNA from 1 species